rnacentral:lncRNA from 10 species
GGUGUUUAUCUUCUCAUGGAGAAAGGAAGGCUGUGUGCAUACAAGUGACAUCUGCUGCUUGUUUCAAGUCCUAGAAUUGUAUGACUACCUUAGCUUCAUGUGGGCCUAGUGCCUCAUUCUGUUGGUCCUGUUCUUUGAUUAUACAGGCUGUUCACCUCAGGUACAGGUACACAUCUAUUGCUCUAUUGCUUCCUCCAAAGCAAAAUGCCCUUGAUAUUAAGUUCACAGAGCCUGAGGCUUUUGUCCAGAUUUUACUGAUUUCUCCAAUUUCUGCCUAGUAGUAAAGUCUUUGCCCUUAGACUAAGCCAGCUUUGUCCACUAGAGAUAUGAUAUGAGCCAUAUGCGUCAUUUAAAAUUUUCUAGUAGCUACAUUUAAAAAUAAAUUAACAGAGCUAGGUGAAACUAAUAAUACAGUGUAUUUACUCCAACACAUCCAAAAUAAUAUGAAAUGUUAUUAAGAUAUUUUGCAUUCAUAUUUUCUAAGUCUUCAAAAUUUAGAAUGUACUUUAUUUACACUUACAGAAUAUCUCAGUUAAGCGUUCAUUAAAAGUGCUUGAUCUGUGUUUAGAUUUUAUAAAAUUUACAGUUGAAAAAUUAGAUGCACAUACCUAAGUUAUUUCAAAUGUACAAAAACAGUUUCCAAAAGCUGAAUUGAGGGUCAAUUUUAAAAUUUAAAUUUAAAGUAAUUUAAGUUAAAUUAAAAAGUUAGUUUCUCAGUCUCCCUAGCCACAUUUUAAGUGCUUGGUAGCUACAAGUGGGCUAGCAGCUACUGCACUGGGCAGCACAGACUAUCGUGAAAUGCAGGCCCUCAUCUCAAAGCCUCCUUUCUGCUUGCAUGUUACAUCUUGAAUUAGAAAGAUGGGACUGCACCUCACUUCCUGAAAAUAACACUCAUAUACCUUAAACUGACAUUCAAAACUCUUAGUAACAUCUUGAAGGCAUUGAAACAGCCAAGGAUCUACAACUUCCUAAUUAAACUAGCUAAAAUUAAUUUUUCCUUAUUUUGUUAUCCCAAAGAACUUCUUCUUACCUCUGUUUUAGGCUUUAUUCCAAUAGGCUCAUAGUAUUUUUUACUGUAUCCUUGGUGAAUCGCCAUGUCAUAAUCCUAAAGAACAUGAUUCCUAAGUUUAGAAAAAUCUAGGUUUGAUCCCCCGAAUGCCCAUCUAUUGGCUUGGGCAGUUAUGUCUUCUGAGCCUAACAUUCCUUAUUUACAAAGUGGGAAUAAUACUUACUUAAUAAUAUGAUGUAGUGAGGAUUAUAAGUGAUACAGCCUAUAAAGUGCUUUACUUUGUGUCAGAGUUUGUCACCAAAAAAAUUACAAAAAUAAUGUUAGCAAAUAUUUAUUGAUCUGUUUCUCACUAAAAUUUAAGUCUUUAAAGGUGAGGGUCAUUGAUCUGCUUGCUAAAGGGACAUCACCUAGCACUGUGCUGUGCAUAUGGCCGUAUAUACAGCUCAGUCAAUGGUUGAGUUUAAAUUCAAACUGACUGCUACCACUGACUGGAUUCAGACUUCACCCUGCUUCGCAUGCCCUCCUUAUCUCCAUUUGUAUAUCUCUUCCAGUUGCUUUGCCUCUUUGUCUUCUUGGUCUCAAUAGUCACUAAAGUUUCAAGCAACAGGUGAGAAAAAUAAAAUUAAAAAGCCCUUUUUCAUAAGGCAAAACAGUCAUGGAAUAUAAAGGAAAUUUAAUUUUAGAACUGCAUUAGAAUAAAGUUGGUUAGGUAUAAACCCUUAACUCCUAGAAACGUAUUCAGAGCAACAGGCAUCUCCGCCAGCUCCCUGGGACCGGGCUACAGUGGAGUUGUGUCAUAGUGCAAAAGUAGUGAACUGCUGAUAAAAAGCAUUAACCUCCAUCAGAGUGGCUGCCAUUAACUGAUGAAAUCAAUUAAGCCAGCAGCACUACCUGCUGAAAACUGAUCUAGCAGAGGAACGGAUGGCAGGGUAGAACAGAUGAAAUGAAAAAAUAGUGGGCUGGGUUUUCUUCUUGCUCUGUUUUUAGAAAUGUUAAGUUCCGUCAGUGUGUUUUUUUGCACUGCUUUGAAGAACUCUUUCCCCGGCGACUCCCCCCCUGCUUGGCCUCAUUCCUUAAACUCACUAAGUUAUUACAGUUAAUACCGUGGUUAAUGGUUUCUGGAAAGACGAUAUCUAUCAGCAUCUGAGUGUACACAUUUUGGCCUAAAUACUGAGAAAUCGUAGGUAUGUAAUACAAAGCCUGGGUGUGCCUGCCUGUAGAAAGUAGCUCAUUAGGAUUAAUCUUUUAUGGAGUGACUAAUGCAAAGGGAACGAGGCCUUUUCCUCCCCAACUCGGCAGAGGUUUUGUCCAAACUUUCAAACAGGUUUCUUUGGAAUACAGCUGGUCACUACUGAAGACUUUGCUCAAACAUAUGGAACUUUAAAACCUUGAUUUUUUUUUUAACUUUUGUAUACUGUAGCAAUUCCCUGAAAAUCAAAUGGCAGAACCUAAACGGAAGACUCACUGCCAAAACGCAUGCCCAGUUGGGGAAAAGUGUGUGGGGAAUCAUCCAGCACACUUCGAGAGCUUCGAGUACAGCCUGGUAGAACUCUGUAUUACCUUCUGUUCUGAUUCCUGAGCUCUGCCAGACUUUUGUUUGAAAAAGCAUCUUUAUGCAGCAGUACAUUUGUUACGUUGUAUCUGAGAAUACUUUCCACCUUGGCUCCUGCUUUUAACGAGUAAAAUGACUUCUUCUCUUGCUACAAAGACCAAAAGGACACAAGGUACAAGGCAGAGCUUCUCAGCAGAGAUAUAUGUUUUUUUCUGCCAAAAUUAGUAUAAGACAAUAAGUUGUCUGUAAAGGUCCGGUAGUCAGAUAAAGGAGUCAAGUUCCUUUUCAGGGUAAUGUAAUUGUUAGUCCUCAUAAAAAAAAGUGUUGUGUGGUGGGGGGAGUUGCGGCUUUAUCAAUAAAAGCAUACAGAGCUGAAUAUCUACAUAAAGAAAUGUUCAGUAUAAUUUAUGGCAUUUCAUCAUGUCGAACUGCAUUUCAAGUAAUUCACCCUGGCAGUUUUAUUCUCAAAAUGGAAAUCUUAGUAUUUUCCUUGCCUUCAUCAAAUAAAGAGUUCGUGUUCAACUGU